AUUUGCGGAAGUUUUCGGAUGGAAGCGGAUGCGACUUAGCGGCGGACGGGUGAGUAACGCGUGGGUAACCUGCCUCAUACAGGGGGAUAACAGUUAGAAAUGACUGCUAAUACCGCAUAAGCGCACAGGACCGCAUGGUCCGGUGUGAAAAACUCCGGUGGUAUGAGAUGGACCCGCGUCUGAUUAGCUGGUUGGCGGGGUAACGGCCCACCAAGGCGACGAUCAGUAGCCGACCUGAGAGGGUGGCCGGCCACAUUGGGACUGAGACACGGCCCAAACUCCUACGGGAGGCAGCAGUGGGGAAUAUUGCACAAUGGGGGAAACCCUGAUGCAGCAACGCCGCGUGAGUGAAGAAGUAUUUCGGUAUGUAAAGCUCUAUCAGCAGGGAAGAAAAAAGACGGUACCUGACUAAGAAGCCCCGGCUAACUACGUGCCAGCAGCCGCGGUAAUACGUAGGGGGCAAGCGUUAUCCGGAUUUACUGGGUGUAAAGGGAGCGUAGACGGCAUAGCAAGUCUGAAGUGAAAGCCCGUGGCUCAACCGCGGAACUGCUUUGGAAACUGUUAAGCUGGAGUACUGGAGAGGCAAGCGGAAUUCCUAGUGUAGCGGUGAAAUGCGUAGAUAUUAGGAGGAACACCAGUGGCGAAGGCGGCUUGCUGGACAGAGACUGACGUUGAGGCUCGAAAGCGUGGGGAGCAAACAGGAUUAGAUACCCUGGUAGUCCACGCGGUAAACGAUGAAUGCUAGGUGUUGGCGGGCAAAGCCCGUCGGUGCCGCCGCAAACGCAUUAAGCAUUCCACC
rnacentral:rRNA from 1 species